rnacentral:rRNA from 1 species
AACGAGCGCUGGCGGCAUGCCUAACACAUGCAAGUCGAACGAGAUCUUCGGGUCUAGUGGCGCACGGGUGCGUAACGCGUGGGAAUCUGCCCUUUGGUUCGGAAUAACAGUUGGAAACGACUGCUAAUACCGGAUGAUGACGAAAGUCCAAAGAUUUAUCGCCAGAGGAUGAGCCCGCGUAGGAUUAGCUAGUUGGUGUGGUAAAGGCGCACCAAGGCGACGAUCCUUAGCUGGUCUGAGAGGAUGAUCAGCCACACUGGGACUGAGACACGGCCCAGACUCCUACGGGAGGCAGCAGUGGGGAAUAUUGGACAAUGGGCGAAAGCCUGAUCCAGCAAUGCCGCGUGAGUGAUGAAGGCCUUAGGGUUGUAAAGCUCUUUUACCCGGGAUGAUAAUGACAGUACCGGGAGAAUAAGCUCCGGCUGACUCCGUGCCAGCAGCCGCCGUAA